rnacentral:rRNA from 1 species
UAAUACGUAGGGUGCAAGCGUUGUCCGGAAUUAUUGGGCGUAAAGAGCUCGUAGGCGGUUUGUCGCGUCGGCUGUGAAAACUCGGGGCUCAACUCCGAGCCUGCAGUCGAUACGGGCAGACUAGAGUGCGGUAGGGGAGACUGGAAUUCCUGGUGUAGCGGUGAAAUGCGCAGAUAUCAGGAGGAACACCGGUGGCGAAGGCGGGUCUCUGGGCCGUAACUGACGCUGAGGAGCGAAAGCGUGGGGAGCAAACAGGAUUAGAUACCCUGGUAGUCCACGCCGUAAACGGUGGGUGCUAGGUGUAGGCGGUAUUCCACGCCGUCUGUGCCGCAGCUAACGCAUUAAGCACCCCGCCUGGGGAGUACGGCCGCAAGGCUAAA